rnacentral:rRNA from 1 species
AGUGAACGCUAGCGGUGCGCCUAACACAUGCAAGUCGCGCGCCUCGCAAGAGGAGCGGCAAACGGCUGCGUAACACGUUGGAAUCUACCUCGAACUCAGGGAUAACCUGUCGAAAGACGGGCUAAUACCGGAUGGUCCCGAAAGGGUAAAGCUUCGGCGGUUCGAGAGGAGCCUGCGGCCUAUCAGCUAGUUGGUAAGGUAACGGCUUACCAAGGCAAUGACGGGUAGCUGGUCUGAGAGGACGACCAGCCGGAAUGGAACUGAGACACGGUCCAUACUCCUACGGGAGGCAGCAGUGAGGAAUCUUCCGCAAUGGGCGAAAGCCUGACGGAGCGACACCGCGUGGUGGAUGAAGGCCUUACGGUCGUAAACACCUGUUCUGAGGGACGUAAAUUUUUGACGGUACCUCAGGAGGAAGCAUCGGCUAACCCUGUGCCA